rnacentral:rRNA from 1 species
AUGAACGCUGGCGGCGUGCCUAAUACAUGCAAGUCGAGCGAACGGACGAGAAGCUUGCUUCUCUGAUGUUAGCGGCGGACGGGUGAGUAACACGUGGAUAACCUACCUAUAAGACUGGGAUAACUUCGGGAAACCGGAGCUAAUACCGGAUAAUAUUUUGAACCGCAUGGUUCAAAAGUGAAAGACGGUCUUGCUGUCACUUAUAGAUGGAUCCGCGCUGCAUUAGCUAGUUGGUAAGGUAACGGCUUACCAAGGCAACGAUGCAUAGCCGACCUGAGAGGGUGAUCGGCCACACUGGAAUUGAGACACGGUCCAGACUCCUACGGGAGGCAGCAGUAGGGAAUCUUCCGCAAUGGGCGAAAGCCUGACGGAGCAACGCCGCGUGAGUGAUGAAGGUCUUCGGAUCGUAAAACUCUGUUAUUAGGGAAGAACAUAUGUGUAAGUAACUGUGCACAUCUUGACGGUACCUAAUCAGAAAGCCACGGCUAACUACGUG